GGAAGUAAAAGUCGUAACAAGGUCUCCGUUGGUGAACCAGCGGAGGGAUCAUUACUGAGUUUACGCUCUAUAACCCUUUGUGAACAUACCUAUAACUGUUGCUUCGGCGGGUAGGGUCUCCGUGACCCUCCCGGCCUCCCGCCCCCGGGCGGGUCGGCGCCCGCCGGAGGAUAACCAAACUCUGAUUUAACGACGUUUCUUCUGAGUGGUACAAGCAAAUAAUCAAAACUUUUAACAACGGAUCUCUUGGUUCUGGCAUCGAUGAAGAACGCAGCGAAAUGCGAUAAGUAAUGUGAAUUGCAGAAUUCAGUGAAUCAUCGAAUCUUUGAACGCACAUUGCGCCCGCCAGCAUUCUGGCGGGCAUGCCUGUUCGAGCGUCAUUUCAACCCUCAAGCUCUGCUUGGUGUUGGGGCCCUACAGCUGAUGUAGGCCCUCAAAGGUAGUGGCGGACCCUCCCGGAGCCUCCUUUGCGUAGUAACUUUACGUCUCGCACUGGGAUCCGGAGGGACUCUUGCCGUUAAACCCCCAAUUUUCCAAAGGUUGACCUCGGAUCAGGUAGGAAUACCCGCUGAACUUAAGCAUAUCAAUA
rnacentral:rRNA from 1 species